rnacentral:lncRNA from 1 species
GGUGUUAGAGAAGGGAAUGGAGAUAGGCCAACCGAUUUUGCCUGAAGAUGAGGAGUUGUUUGUUUACACAAAGUAAUAAAAAAUUAAAUUUUUUUUUUCUUUGUAAAGCAAAGUGUUUUUUUUUUUUGCAUGGAAUUAGAAUAGAAUCUUUCUUGUGUGUAGAGAACAAUUAUAAAAUAAUGAAACACAACACUUCCUUGUUAGGUUAAUGUAGAUUGGUUUCGUAGGUAAUGUUGUUAGGAGAAAUAGGUUUCAUUUUUUGGGUUUAACUCUUGAUACGUAUAUUCUUGAAAAG